rnacentral:piRNA from 1 species
UGUCUCAGGUAUCAUACCCCGAACCUCAGU